CAUCCACUCACCUGUAUAUAUAUCUUAAACCUGUCAAAGAAAUGCAUUCCAAUGCCCAUUUUCCCAGAAAAAUCUUAUCUUCAACUCUCCCCGCCCGCCGAAAACUCUGCCAACACUUGCUCUCCCCCUGUUUCUCCUCUACUUUCUCGGCAUCCAGACAGUGAAUCCAAAACUGACAGACCACGAACGAGCUUAAUUCGCUGAACCCAAAACCAAAAAUGGCAUUCACAACUGCUAAAAUAUCAGAACUUCCGCUGAGGAGCUCGCUCCCACUGAACUCCCAUACUCACUCUCUGAACCUCCUCUUCUCCUCAGCCCCAAAUCUUUCAUUUCAUAUCCUUAAGCCCUUCUCCUCUCUCCGAACCUCCACUACUUCUACUGAACACGGUGGCGACUCCAAGCCUAAGCCCUCACCGGCGCCGAAAGCCAGGGCUUCCUCCGCUCCCUGGCUCAACAAGUGGCCCAAUCCUGGCCCUCCUGUUGAAUCAGCUGAUCGCCGCAAAUCCAAAAGCAGAAACGUCUCCCCCUCGAACGACGAUGACCGAGUGGAGACUCGGUAUUUCGAUGGAGAUAAAGGACAGAGUGCAAUCGAGAGAAUCGUGCUCCGGUUACGAAAUCUAGGGCUAGGUUCGGACGGCGAGGACGAUGGGUCGGAUGAGAUGGACGGUGGCGAUGCAAUGCCGGUGACUGGGGAGGAGAAAUUGGGGGAUUUGCUGCAGAGAGAUUGGGUUCGGCCGGAUUAUAUCUUAGCGGAGAGUGAGAGCGGUGAAAACGACACAGUAUUGCCUUGGGAGAGAGAUGAUGUUAAGGUGGAAGAGAGUGGAAAAAAGAGAGAAAGGAGGGUAGUGGUGAAGGCGCCGUCAUUGGCGGAGUUGACGAUUGAGGACCAGGAGCUGAGAAGGUUGAGGGGGAUGGGCAUGGUUCUAAGAGAAAGGAUUAGCAUUCCCAAGGCUGGCCUUACGAAGGAGGUGCUGGAGAAAAUUCAUGGAAAGUGGAGGAAGGAGGAGCUAGUGAGACUCAAGUUUCACGAGGUGCUUGCCCACGAUAUGAAGACUGCGCAUGAGAUUGUCGAGCGACGAACAGGAGGGUUAGUUAUAUGGAGGUCAGGAAGUGUCAUGGUUGUGUACCGGGGGAGUAAUUAUGAAGGGCCUUUCAGAUCCCAACCUGUGAAUAGGGAAGGUGAUGCCCUUUUUGUUCCAGAUGUUUCUUCUAUGGACAGUUCCAUGACAAGAACUGGCAGUGUUGCUACCUCAAGUGUAGAAAAGAGUGCACCAGCUGUGAGGAAUCCAGACAGUCCUGUGAACAUGACAGAGGAGGAAGUUGAAUACAACAGCCUACUUGAUGGUUUAGGCCCUCGUUUUCUUGAAUGGUGGGGUACAGGAGUACUUCCUGUUGAUGCGGAUUUACUUCCUCAAAAGGUUCCUGGUUACAAAACACCUUUCAGACUUCUUCCUACUGGAAUGCGAUUGCGACUGACUAAUGCUGAGAUGACUAACUUAAGGAAACUUGCUAGAUCACUUCCUUGUCAUUUUGCCCUAGGGAGAAACAGAAACCAUCAGGGAUUGGCAUCUGCUAUUAUUAAGCUUUGGGAGAAAAGCUUAGUGGUGAAGAUUGCAGUUAAACGGGGUAUCCAGAAUACAAACAACAAACUGAUGGCUGAGGAGAUAAAGAAUUUAACAGGAGGUGUCUUACUGCUUAGAAACAAAUAUUACAUUGUCAUAUACCGCGGAAAAGACUUUCUCCCAACAAGUGUAGCUGCUGCUUUGGCGGAAAGACAGGAAUUGGCUAAACAGAUUCAAGAUGUGGAAGAGAAAGUGCGAUGUAGAGUGGUGGAUACAGCUCAAUCACAUGGAGAGGAAAGACAAGUACUUCCAACAAGCGUCGCUGCUGCUGUAGCUGAAAGACAGGAAUUGGUAAAACCUAGUCAAGACAUGGAGGAGAAAGUGCAGUGUGAAGCAGUAGAUGUAGCUCAAGCAGGUGAAGAUGUGGAAGAGAAAGUGCAGUUUGCAGCAGUAGAUGUAGUUCAAGCAAGUGAAGAUGAAGGACAGGCACUUGCUGGUACUUUGGCCGAGUUUUAUGAGGCUCAAGCCCGGUGGGGAAGGGAUAUAUCUGUUGAGGAACGUGGGAAGAUGAUUGAAGAAGCUUCCAAAGCUAAGAAAGCGAGGCUUGUGAAACGAAUUGAACAUAAAUUAGCAGUUGCCCAAGCUAAAAUGCUAAGAGCAGAAAAACUAUUAGCUAAAAUUGAAGCAUCAAUGAUUCCUGCUGGUCCUGAUCAUGAUCAGGAAACAAUUACUGAUGAGGAACGGGUUAUGUUUCGCAGAGUUGGUUUAAGAAUGAAGGCCUACUUGCCUCUUGGCAUUCGUGGUGUUUUUGAUGGAGUCAUCGAGAAUAUGCAUUUGCAUUGGAAGCAUAGAGAGCUCGUGAAACUAAUAUCCAAACAGAAGACCCUUGCUUUUGUUGAUGAGACAGCAAGGUUAUUGGAAUAUGAGAGUGGUGGAAUACUAGUGGCAAUAGAAAGAGUCCCUAAAGGAUAUGCUCUUAUUUACUAUCGUGGAAAGAAUUAUCAACGGCCCAUUAGCAUAAGGCCAAGAAAUCUAUUAACAAAGGCAAAGGCACUAAAGCGUUCAGUGGCCAUGCAACGUCAUGAGGCUCUUAGUCAGCACAUAUCAGAAGUGGAAAGAACCAUAGAACAAAUGAAAAAAGAACUUGGUGUUUCUCAAGAUGCAGAGGAUGAGAAUGCCAGGAGCUCUGAGGAUCCUAACCAGAUUGAUAGCAUCCCAGAGAUCACUCGGAGUGAAGACGAAGCUUCAUGCAUGAAUUCUGCUAGUGAAGGUGACGACGACGAAGACGACGAUAGUGAUUGGGAAGAUGAAGAAGAUUAUGAUAUAUCAAGCAGCAGAAAUGAUCAUCAGCACUUGACCAAGAAUCCUUGACAUAUUCAUUAUGUUUAGGAAUUAACGGGUUGGCAAUUCUGUUGCUGCCUUCUCCCCAUUCAGGAGAAAGAAAAGAUAAAGAAAAAGCUACCAGUUAUGCGAUCCAAUUUCUGGUGUGGAUGGCUUUGCACCACAGCAUGGACAAUUAUUCUUCACCAGAUCUCAUGUCAUGUGCAUUGAUGGAGGUGAGAUUCCUUGUCCUCAUUGACAUCCCUCUCUCUCUCUUCUUGAGAUUUUGACUUUAGGGAGUUUCUCCGAAGGGCUGCAGUUCUCUGCAUUACAUUGCCCUAUCAUAUUCACUGCCAACUUGGUCUCUCACUCUGCUUCUUGUUUAAUCAUGUUGCUAAUUUUAGCUCUAGUGAAUCUGGAUAGCAGCAGGCUUUAAAAGGUCUGUUUAAUGUUAGUCUGCAUGCCUUUCAUCAGACUGACUAAAUUGUAGCCCGGUUGCAGUAUUGUCCUUUUGGGUUUUUGUCAAAGUUAUUGUAUAGUUUCAUUGUAAAAGCAUUGUGACGAUUAAAUUCAUUUCAGUUAAGUAUUA